UCUGGGGUUUCUAUUCUAUUCCAUUGGUCUAUGUGUCUGUUUUUGUGCCAUACAUAUCACUUCUUUAUCCAUUCAUCAGUUGAUGGACACUUGGGCUCUUUUGAUAAUUUGGCUAUUGUAGAUAAUCCUGCCAUGAACACUGAGGUGCAUGUUUCCCAUUGAAUUAGUAUUUUUGUAUUCUUUGGGUAAAUACAUAGCUUUUUAAAAAAAUCUCAAAGUCACAUUUACUCUAAGACUGAGAUCCAAAUCUUUGGCAAGGAAGAUUUUUUUACCAUUUUUAGGUAGGGAUGCAAUUUUCAUGACAGAUUCGAUAUUGUACUCAAAUCACUCUUUCCCCUCUAAUUCAGAGUACUGUUCUUUUUAUGAUCUUUUGAGUCUCUGGCAGUUUCCUUGAGAUGUAUGCUGUCCUAGGGGACCCCAGCAUCAUCUAUGCAAGUGGACACCUGGCAAGCCCAUUCCUACAGAACUCUGGAUGAGGUCAGACAUGCUUAAGACUCAAAGAGAACACUAAUAAAGCUCCAGGUGGGGCCUCUGGUCCUUCUAGUAUUUCAGGAGCUAAACACUUGAGAUAAAAUCAGAUGCAGGGAACACAACGAGAUUCUGAGAAUGUAAAUGUCCUGAGCCAGAAUGGCAAAAAGGCCACCUGAAAGGAUGAAAUCACAUGAUCUGGAGUGAAGAGAGCAUCUAGAAAAUGGGAGAGCCUCAGCAUCACUGUAGACAAGACUCCAACCUCUAGAGAGGCUUUCUUCAUGUUGACAAAAUGGCUGUCAGCAACUCCCUGCUUCUAUCUUUCCAGGUCUAAGCCCACAGUCAAGAGAAUGAGUCACUUCAGCUCAGAAUUUCCUUUGGAGCAAGUCACUUCAAAGCCACUUGGUAACUAUGGUUACCACUCCUCAGGAUUCCCAUGAACAGGAGGCAACGUGAAGACUAGAUGCCCACAAUCUACUCAGGAUGUACACCCUGAAGAUGUUCCAUCCAAAGAGCCCAGUUCUCCCAGGUAUCAAGUAAAAAUAGCUCCUAUUGAAACCAAGUCCUAAGGACAAAAUCACAGCCAAAGAAAUCUUUUGAAAAAGUUGGCCCCAGAGGAAAGCAUGGGUAGAAAUUACCCCCAUAAGCUACUGGUCUAUAGUUCCUUAGAGCAUAAAAUGAGCAAGUAUUUUUCUAACCCUAAGACUGGCUCUGGAUAAAAUUUUAAAACAAACCCUGCUCACGUUUUUAUUAGUUUUUAUUUUUAUCAAAGUAGCAUGCACAGAAUUCACAAAUCAAAUAACAGAAGCAGUAUAGCUUUGUGGGUAACAGCACAGACUUUGAACUAGGCUGCCUUGUUCAAAUUAUGGUCAAGCCAUUUCUAGCUUUGAUCAUGGGAAAGUUACUUGACUGCUUCAUGCCUCCACAGGUAAAAUAGGAAUAAUAAUUGUACAUAUUUCACGGGGUUUUGUAAGACUUCAUAUAGGCACUAGAUUAUGUCCCCCCAAAAUUCACAUGUUCAAGUCCUAACUCUCAGUACCUCAGUACAGAAUGUGACUGUAUUUGGAGACAGCAUUUUUAAAAAGGGUAAUUAAGGUAAAAUUAGGUCAAAUGGGUGAGCCUGAAUCUAAUAUGACUGGUGUCUUUAUAAGAAGAGAUUAGGACACACACAUAGAGGGAGGGCCAUGUGAAGACCAGAAGGCCUGAAGGAGAUGGCUAUCUACAAGCCAAGGAGAAAGACCCUCCGAAGAAUCCAACCUUGCCAAGCCCUUGAUCUUGGACUUCUGGCCUCCAUAACUGUGAAAAAAUACAUUUAUGUUGU